AUAUUCAUUUUGGUAGCACAUAUACAAAAAGUAGAACAAUACAGAGAAGAUUAGCCCAACUCCUAUGCAGGGAUGACAGAAAGAGUAAUCAGUUAUUCCAAAGUUAA